rnacentral:lncRNA from 1 species
UGUGUUGAUGAUAGUGUUGUUUGUUUCAGGAUACACACUGGGGGAGAGCUUCUUCGGGCUGACUCCUUAACUGGUGAUGCUUUGUUGAAGCAACUUUGGCACCAUUCAGAUGCGAUCAUGUGCUGUUCCUUAAAAACAAAUGUAAUCCAUUUGACUAAUCACUUCAUGAUAAUUUUUCGAGAUAAAAAUAUGGGAUAUUCAAUAUUGUGCUAGAGACUGUUUAAGCAAAGCUAAACAUGAUUUGAAAAAUAUGUUGCAGGCAUCUCCUGUUUUCACCUUUGCAAAUCAGGCAGGAUUGGACAUGCUGGAAACUACCCUUGUGGCCCUUCAGGACAUCAUGCUUGACAAGAUUCUUGACGAGGCUGGAAGGAAGAUUCUCUGCACUGAGUUUGCUAAGAUCAUGCAACAGGUAAAGUUUUCAAUAUCUGGAGCCAACACUCAGUUCUAAGCAGAUCCAAA